rnacentral:lncRNA from 1 species
GUCUUUAUGAAGUCCCCUCUUAACCCUCUCCUUACAAGAGUAAACAAAACUGCAGACUUCGCCCUCUAUUAUUCAAUCGACGGUAAUAAAGAUCUGUUAAAAUCAUCGACCUGUUAGAGGGACACAAUUCGUCUGUCAGUUCUCGGUGAGCAACAGGAUGUCGCCAUAUCAGCCUCCUGACCUCUAGGCGGCGCUGGGUGAUCAAGGAUUGAGUAGGAGCCGUGUGAAGACAGAGGGGUAAGGACAGGGGUAAGGACACCUGUUCUUUUCUGUUCAUAUUUGAUUAACGUGAACAUUAAUUGUGACCAAUUCUGGAUAUACAGCAGGCGGGAAGCGCAGGCCGCCAUGGAAGGAAAGCGGAAACCGUCCCUCGCUGCGCGGGAAGGACUGGUUCACCUCUCUCGCCUCCGGGCCGUGUUAACCGCUGUGUUCACGGAGAAUUCACGAGUUUAAUAAGACAGAUUUCAUCACUGCGUGUCUCCUCCGACUCUGCAAACCAGCCGCCGGGUGCGGCGCGCGCCACCGUGCCCUGAGGAUGCUGCGACGCCUCCUGGUUGGCGGCCAUGGGUGGAGGCAGGCGGGAGUCUUCUCUGCAGCCGGCGCGUGGGAGGCGAGGAGGUGGGAGCAGAUGACGACACGAAGAGUCUACUUUUCCCGGGCCUUAUCUGCAAAAGAUAGCUGCCCAUUUUUUUUUAGCUUCUCAAGAAAUGGAUUAUCCCUGGUUUCAAGUUACUUUCAGACCUUGCCCAAACUUAAAUGCUGUGUGGCCAAGUACUGCUGUGAACUGCGACACGGUGGUCUUAUACAGAGAAGACGGAAGCAAGAUGUUGAGACCUCUUAAAACUCAUUUUGUGAGUCACAGACCUUCAAUUUCUAAGGGGCAGUCACCCCUUUAUUAUUGCACUGCAUAAUUGUUUCAUGUCCAGGCUUAAAAGUUCUUUAAAUAUGAUGCAAUGAAGUGUAUUUUAAACUAUUAGAUCUAGGAGAAUUUUGUGUGAAGUGCUUCGGUUCUGUGAACACAUACUGUAACUCAGUUCUGCUUGAAAGCAUGUUAGCAAUGACUUAUUCAUAAAUUACUUAUGUUGGAAUGUUAAUGGUUGUCUUAAUUAGCAGGCUGACUUUUUAAUUUUAAGGUUGCUUAAAUAUUUAUAUCUCAAUCACACACACUGUAUGGUUUCAGAUAAUUACAAAUACCCUUGAGGCGGGAUACAAUUAAAAUUUGGACUAACGUUGAAGGCUAUUUACAAG